AAGUAUUUUGUUCUUUAGUCCAAUAACUUUUGAAAAGAUCGGAGGCAGAUAAAAAAAAACAGUAAGAAAAUGGAUUGCUUAGCUUCAUUACCAAAAGUUAAAACAAAUGGCUGCAAUUUCAUUACAUUUAGAACUGGAACAACAAUUUUUAGUAUACUGCAUUUGAUAUUUUAUAUUACAAUAGGCGUUUUUUUGUAUGAUUUAGAUCCAAAUAUGAAUUUUCCAAUCAUUUGUAUUUUUACAAUUGCUAGUGUAAGUGCACUUUGCGCAAUCAUAGGUGCAAUUUCGGAACGGUCUCUUUUGAUUGAAAUUUACGUCGUAUUUGGUUUGAUAUCUAUUUUGAUUCUUAGUUUGAUGACAGUUAGUGCUGCGUUUAUUUCGUUCUACUUUUUCGUGUUGCAACUUACGCUGCUCAUUUUCUUCGUAUACAGCAUUCUUUUUAUGAACUCGUACUCGUAUCAGCUGAUAACAAGCAAGGUACCCGAGCCCACACGGAUACAAUCUAAUGAGAACAUUUAAGCAAGGUACACUACUCUCUCCUGAAAAAUGUAUAACGUAUGCUGUUUUCUGAUAAAUAUAUUGUGUCACGGUCUACAAAAUAGAAGAAUAGAUGUUUCUAUUGUAGAAAACAUUACACAUUUCUCUUCUUUGUAAUAUACAGCUGCUGAUUGUGAGUCCAAAACUGUAUGGAAACUCAUGUAAAAAUUUACUUUGUGUCCGAUAGCAAGUGUCUGCGCGCUGUUCACUUGCUAUUUAUUUCUUCUAUUGUAUAUUUCUCUAAAACUUUUACUAGUUACUGUCUCAAAAGGAAAAUAAUAAAAUAAUUUGUAAAAAAACACAAAAAUAUAAAGAAAAAUAAUACUAUAUUGUUUCAUUGAUGAUAUUGUUGUGCUUUUGUCCAUAUCUAGUAAUAAUAAAUAUUAAAAAUAUUUAAAAUUAGAAAUAUGUGCUCGGUUCCACCCUUGCCUAUCGUCAAGCCGUGUUGGUGUAUCACUUUGCAAGUUGGAAGUAUCCUCUUAGGAGUUGCCCAGGUCUUAGGUGGUGCAUCAAUCAUUAUGGUCUACGUAACAGGACAACGAGAACUCGUUGAUAUUAAACUGCCGUCAGGCAAAUAUGAAGUGCAUAUUUUUGUCCAUCUAUUAGAGCUAAUGACCUCAAUAGUUGUUUGUACAGUUGGAAUUGUGGGCAUUUUAGCAGCUCUUUUUAAAAGCCGUUUACUGAUAAGAGUUCAAAUGGAAAUACUGUGGAAACUAAAUCUGCUUAUGACUUUUGCAAUUUUAGUGAUGACUUUUGCAAUACCAUUAGCCGAUUGUCAUUUUUUCUUACUAUUUUGUCUGGUGCUCUCUAUCCUUGCUUUCAACAUGUAUGUAUUGACAGUCUUUAGUAGCUACUAUUUGCAGCUAAAAGAGCUACGGGCUACUACAAUAUGCGUCUGAGUUGGUGUUCUAUCUACUGUAGUAUAUAUAGUAAUACGAAAAUAGAGAUGUUAUAGCGAAACAAAAGAGAAAAGAGAUUUUUAUCAAUGUGCCACACACACUCAAAUGAAGCUCGCGUAUUUUGUUUUAUUUUUUGAAACAUGGAUGUGU